rnacentral:rRNA from 1 species
GACGAACUGUGCAAACGUUAUUCGGAAUCACUGGGCUUGAAGAGUGCGUAGGCGGUUUUGGAAGUAGGGUGUGAAAGCCCCCGGCUCAACCGGGGAAUUGCGCCCUAAACUGCAAGGCUGGAGUGAGGUAGGGGUGUGUGGAACUUCUAGUGGAGCGGUGAAAUGUGUUGAUAUUAGAAGGAACGCCGGUGGCGAAAGCGACACACUGGACCUUGUCUGACGCUGAGGCACGAAAGCCAGGGGAGCAAACGGG